CGCAUCUGUGCAUGCAGCAUAUCAAUAAGCGGAGGAAAAGAAACUAACAAGGAUUCCCCUAGUAACGGCGAGUGAAGCGGGAAGAGCUCAAAUUUGAAAUCUUAAAGGGUUUCCCUUUACGAAUUGUAGUUUAAAGAAGUGUUUUCUGUUGAGGUUUUGGUAAAAGUUCUUUGGAAUAGGACAUCAUAGAGGGUGAGAAUCCCGUAUUUGACCUUUACUUUCAACUUUGUGAUACACUUUCAAAGAGUCGGAUUGUUUGGGAAUGCAGUCCAAAAUGGGUGGUAAAUUUCAUCUAAAGCUAAAUAUUGGCGAGAGACCGAUAGCGAACAAGUACCGUGAGGGAAAGAUGAAAAGAACUUUGAAAAGAGAGUUAAACAGUACGUGAAAUUGUCAAAAGGGAAGCGUUCGACACCAGUGUUGUUUUUCUGAAAAUCAAUUAAAGAACUGUUUAUGCUAAGCUGUUUAGACUUUAUCAGCUAACUGUUUAGUUUUGAGCUUUUCUUUAAUGCACUUUUCAGUUAACAAGUCAACAUCAAUUUCUUUUGCUGUAAAAAAGCUUGAGGAAGGUGGCUUGAGAUUCGUCUUAAGUGUUUAUAGCCUCUUGCCUAUGCAGUCGGAGAGAUUGAGGUCUGCAGCGUAGAUCCUUCGGGGCUAAAUGCAUUUGUGCUAAGUUAUAGCAUUUUAUAGACAACUUGUUGACAUAUGAUUUGUCUUGUAGCUUACUCGCUUACGUUAUUUUACCUACGCUUAGGAUGUUGAGCGCAUGUCUCUCUCU
rnacentral:rRNA from 1 species